CCUACGGGGGGCUGUAGUGGGGAAUAUUGGACAAUGGGGGCAACCCUGAUCCAGCCAUGCCGCGUGUGUGAAGAAGGCCCUCGGGUUGUAAAGCACUUUCAGUGAGGAAGAACGCCUGGUGGUUAAUACCCAUCAGGAAAGACAUCACUCACAGAAGAAGCACCGGCUAACUCCGUGCCAGCAGCCGCGGUAAUACGGAGGGUGCGAGCGUUAAUCGGAAUUACUGGGCGUAAAGCGCGCGUAGGUGGCUUGAUAAGCCGGUUGUGAAAGCCCCGGGCUCAACCUGGGAACGGCAUCCGGAACUGUCAAGCUAGAGUGCAGGAGAGGAAGGUAGAAUUCCCGGUGUAGCGGUGAAAUGCGUAGAGAUCGGGAGGAAUACCAGUGGCGAAGGCGGCCUUCUGGACUGACACUGACACUGAGGUGCGAAAGCGUGGGUAGCAAACAGGAUUAGAUACCCUUGUAGUC
rnacentral:rRNA from 1 species